rnacentral:rRNA from 1 species
AAAGAAACCAACAGGGAUUGCCCUAGUAACGGCGAGUGAAGCGGCAACAGCUCAAAUUUGAAAUCUGGCGUAAGCCCGAGUUGUAAUUUGUAGAGGAUGCUUCUGGGUAGCGGCCGGUCUAAGUUCCUUGGAACAGGACGUCAUAGAGGGUGAGAAUCCCGUAUGUGACUGGCCCGCACCCUCUACGUAGCUCCUUCGACGAGUCGAGUUGUUUGGGAAUGCAGCUCUAAAUGGGAGGUAAAUUUCUUCUAAAGCUAAAUACCGGCCAGAGACCGAUAGCGCACAAGUAGAGUGAUCGAAAGAUGAAAAGCACUUUGGAAAGAGAGUUAAAAAGCACGUGAAAUUGUUGAAAGGGAAGCGCCCGCAACCAGACUUUGCGGCGGUGUUCGGCUGGUCUUCUGACCGGUUUACUCGCCGCCGUGAGGCCAUCAUCGUCUGGGACCGCUGGAUAAGACCUGAGGAAUGUAGCUCCCUUCGGGGUGUAUUAUAGCCUCUGGUGAUGUAGCGCGUCUCGGGCGAGGUCCGCGCUCCGGCAAGGAUGAUGGCGUAAUGGUUGUCGGCGGCCCGUCUUGA